AAGACUAUACUUUCAGGGAUCAUUUCUAUAGUUUGUUACUAGAGAAGUUUCUCUGAACGUGUAGAGUACCCGAAACCACGAGGAGGAGGCGCAGUGUUCUCUCCUGAGCGUGAAGCUGGUUCUUGAUGUUGCUUAUGCAACUGUCAAUUACCAUUGAUGAUCGUUCUUCUUCUCCUUCGGGGGAAGUGAGAGGGAGAGGACGCAGUCUGAGUGGUU
ensembl:snoRNA